rnacentral:rRNA from 1 species
GUGUCAGCAGCCGCGGUAAUACGGAGGGGGCAAGCGUUGUUCGGAUUUACUGGGCGUAAAGGGUGUGUAGGCGGCUGGAUAAGUCUGGUGUGAAAUCUUCACCGCUUAACGGGAAGGGGUCACUGGAAACUGUCCAGCUUGAGUAUGGUAGAGGCAAGCGGAAUUCCUGGUGUAGCGGUGGAAUGUGUAGAUAUCAGGAAGAACACCGGUGGCGAAGGCGGCUUGCUGGGCCAUCACUGACGCUGAGACACGAAAGCGUGGGGAGCAAACGGGAUUAGAUACCCCGGUAGUCCACGCUGUAAACGGUGCGCACUAGGUGUGGGGGGUAUCGACCCCUCCCGUGCCGACGUUAACACAUUAAGUGCGCCGCCUGGGGAGUACGGCCGCAAGGUUGAA